CAACAUUUUGCAGAAAAGCAAGCUCGGGAGGACACCCUGGAAAAGACGGGAAGAACUACCAUUAAAAGACACCCCGGAACCGCCUUUCUCGGCCAGGAUCGGAACAUCUGCCGACCCUAGCACGCCGCUCCCAGGCCGGAUCCCAGACCCCAGCAGGGCUCUCGAAUCCGGCACUCCAAAACCUACAAGCGUAUCUUCGCGUCCCAUUGAGCGGUUCCCCAUGUGGAGCCAGGCCUGCAACCCGCCAAGCUGGUUCGACCGUUGGGGGAGAGGCUGCUCGAUUACUCCGGAGCGCCCAACUAAUUUUUCGACGCUCAACUAAUUUUGCCUGCGCGGCCUACAGGCUCGCAGUGCGCGUGCGCAGCUGGAGCGCGAAGAUAGCGGCGCGCAUGGGCGGCGAAUUCAACCGCCUUGAAUGUGGCAGCUGGUGAGUGUCCUGGCCUUAGGGUUUCCUUUGCCCUUUUAAAUAAAGCACAGUGCGUUUCGACAAGUUGUUCACAUGUUCGGAGCGCUCCGUUUCAGGCCAUGCGUCUACUUCAGCGACUUCGUUACGCAGCACGCUGGCUGAAGGGCAGGGGUAAGCGCUUUGAAGCUUCCGGUGUGCAGAGGAAGUGGUGGAUCGCUUUUCCUAAGCUCUUCCAACACUAGUAGUCUGUUCCCCCUCCUUCCCAAGGUGUCAGACUCACUAUGUAGAGGAGAAUGGCCUUGAACUUAUGAUUCUUUGCUUCCCCAGCGCAGGUAUUGCAAUCAUGCCUUUUUAGGUGGGUUUCCGUGCUUAGCUGGCAAUCCCAGCCUGUACCGACUGCACUCUCUCUCCAGAUCUCGAUUCAGGGUUGUUUUGCCAAAAUUCACUUUUUACAAGUUAGCUUAGGAUGACAUCCGGUCUAAGACUAGCGGGGGGGGGGGGGGCGAUCGUUUAGUGCUCAAGAGCACUGGUUGCUCUUAGAGGAUCUUGAUUCGAUUUCCAGCACCUACAUGACAGCUCAGAACCAUCUGUAAUCGCAGUUCCAGAGGAUCCGGCACCAGACAGGCAAGCAGUAUGUAGACACAAGUUAAAUGGACAAGAAUGUACUUAAUUGUUUGUUCAAUAGUUUAACUAUGAGAACAUGGUCUACCCAAGUUCCUGCAAAGAAAGGGUGCUGGAACAUUGGAGAGCGAAUUCUUUGGGCCCCAAAAGUUUAGUCUGAGCAUGUAAGCCACCAUGCUGGUGCUUCAGGACAGCUUGUAGGUGUAGGCACUCAGCUUCAGGAAACUUGAGCUAUGGGUGUGGCUUUAAAAGCUGAGGGAUCCUACUGCCCAGACCCUUACCUGUUCUGUAGCCAGUGACCUCUGAAUCCACAGUACCCUACUUCAGUAGCUAGGGUUAACAAAUGACAUUUGAUAAGUAACUUGUACUAAGGUUACAGACUUUGGUGGUGACACAGCCUGAGCCCAUAUGAACCCCCUGACCUUUUCCUGCCCCAGACUUAAUUUAUUCUUCCACAGUACAGCGCAGUCAUCCACUUGUUCCUAUGGAAACCCAGAUAGGAAUCAGGAAGGACAGGAGCCUCUUGGUGCUGCCUAUUCUCAAUAAGCACCUUAACCACAGACCCCUUGCUGUGGUAGGGGUCCGUCAGACCUAGGGAAAAGAAAACUCCAUGCGUAUCAACUAAUGUCUUUGAAUAUGUACUAAUUUGUAUAACCUGCAGCCCCUUCCUGGCUUAGAGACCAGACACCUUGCUCCAUUUCCCCAAGUCACCCUCACUCCACAUUGAGGACAUCUUUAGAAUCCUGUCUUAAGGUUUUAAAAUAACCAAUACAAUUAUGGGAGACAUAGUGACUGUCUGUGGACCCCACCACAGCACAGUGUGGCGUUCCCUAAGGUAUUUUGGCCUCUCCUAGGUUCCCAGGAAGCCAUGAAACAAUAUUCUUCCAAUGACAGAAAAUGGACAACCUGAGAAAGCAUGUUUGGCUUUAUUUUUUUUAGACUUUUUUUAUUUAAAUAAGGAGAGUUCUUUCAUAUGGAAAGACCUAGUACAAUCACAUAUUUGAAAGGAGAAACAACAGGGACUGACCCGGAGGGAAGGGAGGGUGAUUUCACGAUUCCAUUUCCCAUCCGAAGUAAGAGGUUCCCCAUAUCACGUCUAAACAAGCUGCACAGGACACUUUUAGCAUCGUCUGCCCUUUCAGAUAGCUGGUCUAAGUGAAAGACAGAGGGAAGGCCAAAAGAAAAGCAAAAGAAACAAAAGGACCCUCAAAAAGAACAACCCCCCCCCCCCAAGUCCUUUUCUACAAAAGGUAUGAGUUGGAAAGCAGCUGAGGGCACAGGACCCCUUUCCAACAGGAGCCUGCAGAGCCUCCACAGGACCUGCUGCUCCGAGACUGUGACAUGCCAAAGACGGGGCCUGGGGACGUUGCAGGUCUGAAGCAGGCAACUGGGAGCUGCAGGUGUCAUGCGCCUGGAAGAUCACUAGUCAGAGCUAGUAGGCCUAGUGGAGAGCACAGCUGGGUGACUGUGCUCGUCCCCAACCAACACCGAUGAGUCUGUUCCAAAUGACCUAACUUGUCUUAGAGCCAUCUCACAAAAGAGCUCGCUUCCCCACUCAUCAAAGAAAACAGAAGAUGGACUCCUGUGCCCUUGCUUGUAAGAUUCCCCCGGACCCUCUAACCCAGACUUGCUGGGAAUGAGGGCAAGGUAGACUGAAAGGAAACAUGCAGGAUGUUUCGGGGCAGACUUAGCCAGAGUUGCCUCAUGGCCUCAGUGGGCACACCCUUGUGCCCUGGGCCCUAGGUGUCAAAUCCUUCAUGACUUCAUCAUGGACCCUCUGGAAGGUGGCUCCAGAAGACAGAACGGCAAGGUUGACGUUGACACAUUAUCCAAGAAUCUAGAAGCAGCAGAGCAGCCCUGGCUUUGAAAAUGAACCAGCUUUUCUGAACGUGCACAGCAGCCACCUGCUAUUUAUUCCCCGUAAGGAAUCAGACCCAGAAGUGUCCUGUGAACUCUGAACUUGAAGAUGGUAAACUUGGGAAUAAGACAAGGAAAGCAACUGCUGAGAGACCAGACUAAAUACAGCUGGCGGAAGUCAUCACCAACAGAUGCUACACGCUGCAUCAGGACCAACAGACUGAAGAGUCCUGGUUGCCAAACCAUGGAUUUCACCGUCAGUGGCACCAGUGAAGCCACUGGCAGGAGGAGGUGGCUUCAGCAGACAGGAGUAAAGGAUUCUGCCCACCUCCACCCAUCUCAGCAGUAGAAAAGGCAGGGACUGGGCUUUAUCUGUUCCCACCAAAGGCCAUGGCACCUUGACAGACGUUCCUGUUUUUAUGUGUGAUCUGAAGAUGGGGGUUUGAAACCAAAAUAAGGCCCAAGUCCUAUUACACUUUGAGCUUGACUCUAACAACCACAUGAAGAGAUAGAUAUUGCACCUUAAAACCUCUGUACUAAAACCUUGGCUUAACCAGAUCAUCUGAGGGCAGGGACCUUUGGCCUGAAGCCUGCCCUCUGUCCCCAGAGUCUAGUUGCAAAUGUGCCUCUCAGAGGGGAGGGGCCCACAGCCGAGACCACAGAGGUGAUGAGCACACCAAAUUUCACAUGCAAUUUCCUGGCCUUCCCUGCAGAGUAAUUCAGACAUUAUAUAAACAGAGCAGUGGGACAUUUACUUUUUUUUCCAUCUAGACCUACAACAUCAAUACAUAUAAAUAAAUU
rnacentral:sRNA from 1 species